rnacentral:rRNA from 1 species
ACGGCUCAGUAACACGUGGACAACUUGUCCUUUGGACCGGGAUAACCCCUGGGAAACUGGGGCUAAUACCGGAUAGAGCAUUGAUAGCUGGAAUGCACGAUGCUCGAAAGCUGAGGCGCCAAAGGGUAGGUCUGCGGCCGAUUAGGUUGUUGUUGAUGUAAUGGAUCAACAAGCCUCCGAUCGGUAUGGGUUGUGAGAGCAAUAUCCCAGAGAUGGGUUCUGAGAGAAGAACCCAGGUCCUACGGGGCGCAGCAGGCGCGAAAACUUUACAAUUUGCGAAAGCACGAUAAGGGAACUCUGAGUGCCUCCAAAGGAGGCUGUUCAGGUGUCUAAAAAGCAUCUGAAGUAAGGGCUGGGUAAGACCGGUGCCAGCAGCCGCGGUAACACCGGCAGCCCAAGUGGUGGCCACUUUUACUGGGUCUAAAGCGUUCGUAGCCGGCCAUGUAAGUUCCUUGGGAAAUUUGACCGCUUAACGGUUAAGCUUCCAGGGAAUACUGCUUGGCUUGGGACCGGGAGAGGUCAGAGGUACCUCAAGGGUAGGGGUGAAAUCCGUUAAUCCUUGGGGGACCGCCAGUAGCGAAGGCGUCUGACCAGACCGGAUCCGACGGUGAGGGACGAAGGCUAGGGUAGCGAACCGGAUUAGAUACCCGGGUAGUCCUAGCUGUAAACGAUGCGGGCUAGGUGUUGGCAUUACUGCGAGUGAUGCCAGUGCCGAAGGGAAGCCGUUAAGCCCGCCAUCUGGGGAGUACGGUCGCAAGGCUGAAACUUAAAGGAAUUGGCGGGGGAGCACUACAACGGGUGGAGCUUGCGGUUC